rnacentral:misc_RNA from 1 species
UUGAUUAUUUAAUCGUUUUCUCAGACGUUAUGAUUGUCAGGGUUGGUUACUUCGGCGGGCGCAGACCAGCUGCUGUUACGCAGCCGGCAUCGCUCGGGAGCCAUGGCCCGCCGAAGCUGCUUUACAGCUGAUGUAUACAAGGGUGGGAGCGGAGAUUUGAAAAAUCUCCAAACUCGGUAAUGAUCCUUCCGCAGGUUCACCUACGGAAA